UCGUACUAACUGGGGAGCUAGCGGUGCCUUGUAAUCUACAAUCCGCUUUAGUAGAGGUGAAGUCGACCUGAGGAUCAAUCUGUCAUAGCAGGUCCUUUUAGAAGAUGUUGAGAGUAAAGUCCUAUACGGCGAAAUGCCAGUGAACCGUGUCAGAUCCGGAAGGAAGCAGCACUAAGUUGGUUAUUUUGGGUGUUAUAGGGUAGCUUUGUUUGAGUUUUCUGAUUGGGUGCCGUGUGGUUGGAAUGUUUUCGAAGGUCGAUGUACGG
rnacentral:SRP_RNA from 1 species